GAUGAAGAACGCAGCGAAAUGCGAUAAGUAAUGUGAAUUGCAGAAUUCAGUGAAUCAUCGAAUCUUUGAACGCACAUUGCGCCCGCCAGUAUUCUGGCGGGCAUGCCUGUUCGAGCGUCAUUACAACCCUCAGGCCCCCGGGCCUGGCGUUGGGGAUCGGCGGAAGCCCCCUGCGGGCACAACGCCGUCCCCCAAAUCCAGUGGCGGUCCCGCCGCAGCUUCCAUUGCGUAGUAGCUAACACCUCGCAACUGGAGAGCGGCGCGGCCACGCCGUAAAACACCCAACUUCUGAAUGUUGACCUCGAAUCAGGUAGGAAUACCCGCUGAACUUAAGCAUAUCAAUAAGCGGAGGA
rnacentral:misc_RNA from 1 species